ACAGUUUGUCCUCUUUGGCAGGAGAAAGAUCUUGAAAGUAAGAAUUCUGAAAGACCUGGAGGAUCUAGGCAUAAAUAGAUUGGUUGAUGCCCUGGAUGCAUAGGGGUGGAAGGGCUUGGUUCUUUAACUAGAUGGCAGGCUGGCAAGAAAAGAGCUGAUCGAGUUUAUGGCAAAUGCCACAGUAGUGAAUGGGGUUGUUACCA
rnacentral:lncRNA from 1 species